rnacentral:rRNA from 1 species
UUAAAUUGAAGAGUUUGAUCAUGGCUCAGAUUGAACGCUGGCGGCAGGCCUAACACAUGCAAGUCGAACGGUAACAGGAAUCAGCUUGCUGAUUCGCUG